AUUGAACGCUGGCGGCAGGCCUAACACAUGCAAGUCGAGCGGAUGAAGGGAGCUUGCUCCUGGAUUCAGCGGCGGACGGGUGAGUAAUGCCUAGGAAUCUUCCUGUGCUUGGGGGAUAACGUCCGUAAACGGGCGCUAAUACCGCAUACGUCCUGAGGGAGAAAGUGGGGGAUCUUCGGACCUCACGCUAUCAGAUGAGCCUAGGUCGGAUUAGCUAGUUGGUGGGGUAAAUGCCUACCAAGGCGACGAUCCGUAACUGGUCUGAGAGGAUGAUCAGUCACACUGGAACUGAGACACGGUCCAGACUCCUACGGGAGGCAGCAGUGGGGAAUAUUGGACAAUGGGAGAAAGACUGAUCCAGCCAUGCCGCGUGUGUGAAGAAGGUCUUCGGAUUGUAAAGCACUUUAAGUUGGGAGGAAGGGCAGUAAGUUAAUACCUUGCUGUUUUGACGUUACCAACAGAAUAAGCACCGGCUAACUUCGUG
rnacentral:rRNA from 1 species